ensembl:lncRNA
AAGAGACGCAGGUUUGAUCCCUGGGUCAGGAAGAUCCCCUGGGGAAGGGCAUUGCAACCCACUCCAGUAUUCUUGCCUGGAGAAUUCCCUGGACAGAGGAGCCUGGCAGGCUGUAGUGCAUAAGGUUGCACAGAGUCGGACACGACUGAAGCGACUUAGCAUGCAUGCACGACAUUGAGGUGUUCUUAGUUUUUAUCCCUAAACAAAGUUCCAAGUUCACUUUAAGAACCGUCUUUUAUCUUCUGGUUUCAUUUGCGGCCCCUGUGUGGCUCCACUGCCCGCUCUGCCAAAGGUCUGCUCCCAGCUUUACCGCUGCUCCUCUGACCCCAUCCCUCAGUCCCUAACGGAAAAUCUCAGCCCUUCUCUGAGGCAGUGACGAGGUGGAUAUGAUGUAGCUUGUUGGGAAAACCACAGAAUCUGUGCUCAGCUGAUCCUUUACCAGCCCCGACGCCGCCACGCAUCUCUGCGUCAAUCAACCACCCCAUACCUCCCAGGUUGCUGCCCCUGGGGAACAUCACUGGGUAACUCGCUCAUACCUCCCGCGAAGGGAUUUGUUAGACUCUGGAACACCAAAGAUGAAAGGCACAGGCAGGCCUGCCCUCAAGGAGCUUCAGCCACAGGAGGAAAGGGAACAAAACGUGAGAUUCAAGGGAAAGAAGAUCUAAUACCAGCAUUCCUUCCACGGACCCCAGCAGUAUCACUCUGAUCCCUAGAAUUAGUAUGAAUCAGUUGCUAAGAAAGCAGCCUAAUCUGUUUCCCAGGCCUACUGAGGAUGCAAAGCAUCAAAAGCAAAAGCCACACUCUGGAAAUGAAGCUGUUCCCAAGUGACGCGCAUCCAUUCACCAAGUUAAUGCUUAAUAAGAACGAUCUACAAAGGGUGACCGAAAGAUGAGGAGAGUGAAGACUGCCUCCAGUGAGCAUGAACGAGCGAAAUAAAUAAAUAGAUGCCAUGCUGAUCCCAAAAGAAGGAAGGUGCAGGAAGGGGAACUUGCACAGCAAUUCUGGGGAGCAGGAACCCUAGCCCACCUUCGUCCUCCGCAUCUCCCCUGGGGCUUCAGGAGACUUGUCACCACAGUUCACACCAGCUUCCUCCUGCCCCAGCUCUCCCACCGCAUCUCCAGUCUCUGAACCUGCAGAGCUGCUGAUGCUGCUGGGGCCUGACGUCGCCCUGCAGCUGGAGGCCGCCCUGGCUGACCCUCAGCUGCCCUGUCCCUGUCUCACUCCAGAGACGGGCCUCGGGGGCAAUCUUGUCUUUAACACGUGGCCUCCUCUGUUCCAGGGGUCACGGAAGACCGCCCAGAGCUCACCACGUCUCACGGAGAUUUUAAUGAAACAGCUCUUCUAUUUAUUUGUGUUGCUGCCUCCAAGGCCUGGGGCCAUGACAUCAGUCCCUGAGAGGGGAGGCCCGGGCUCAGGGGACAUCAGGCUUUCUGUCCAGUUGCUUAGGUUCUGACACUAACCCGGCUUUUCUGCUUCAGUCCUACACUCUUCCCUCUGUUUUUUUCUCGGGCGUGUCUGAAUCCUGGGGUGAAUACCGUUUACCUUGCACCCUGUGGCACUUGUUAAAAGUAAACAGGUUUUCCCUGAGCGUUGGCAGUUCCACCAGAAGGAGAACAAAGGUCAAUGCAGUCAUACGGAAUCUGAUUAACACCAAGCCGCAGAAACACACCCCUGGAUUAGAUGCUUUCCCAGCUGCCCCUGCCCUUUGGACAGAGGAGCCGUUCUAGCUGGUGUGCAGGCAGCAGCUAUGCUUAGCUCGCUGAGUGGGAAUGUGUUAAUCCACAUUUCAAGUUAGGUUUGCCUAUUGUUAUUUUUUAAUUAUAUGUACUUUAAGAGUGAUGUUAUCAUUUGAAUUUUAAAAAAUGUAUAGAAAAAAGUUUUAUUACAUUGGAGUAAAAGAAAAAAGAAAUUUUAAUCAGGUUUACAGAGGUAUAAUUUACAUUCAAUGAAUUCCACCCUCUUUAGUGGAC